rnacentral:rRNA from 1 species
UAGGGAAUCUUCCACAAUGGACGCAAGUCUGAUGGAGCAACGCCGCGUGAGUGAAGAAGGUUUUCGGAUCGUAAAGCUCUGUUGUUGGUGAAGAAGGAUAGAGGCAGUAACUGGUCUUUAUUUGACGGUAAUCAACCAGAAAGUCACGGCUAACUACGUGCCAGCAGCCGCGGUAAUACGUAGGUGGCAAGCGUUGUCCGGAUUUAUUGGGCGUAAAGCGAGCGCAGGCGGAAUGAUAAGUCUGAUGUGAAAGCCCACGGCUCAACCGUAGAACUGCAUCGGAAACUGUCAUUCUUGGGUGCAGGAGAGGAGAGUGGAAUUCCAUGUGUAGCGGUGGAAUGCGUAGAUAUAUGGAAGAACACCAGUGGCGAAGGCGGCUCUCUGGUCUGCAACUGACGCUGAGGCUCGAAAGCAUGGGUAGCGAACAGG